GACCUCAAAUCAGGUAGGACUACCCGCUGAACUUAAGCAUAUCAAUAAGCGGAGGAAAAGAAACUAACAAGGAUUCCCCUAGUAACUGCGAGUGAAGCGGGAAAAGCUCAAAUUUAAAAUCUGGCAGUCUUCGAUUGUCCGAGUUGUAAUCUAGAGAAGUGUUAUCCGCGCUGGACCGUGUACAAGUCUCCUGGAAUGGAGCGUCAUAGAGGGUGAGAAUCCCGUCUUUGACACGGACUGCCAGGGCUUUGUGAUGCGCUCUCAAAGAGUCGAGUUGUUUGGGAAUGCAGCUCAAAAUGGGUGGUAAAUUCCAUCUAAAGCUAAAUAUUGGCGAGAGACCGAUAGCGAACAAGUACCGUGAGGGAAAGAUGAAAAGAACUUUGGAAAGAGAGUUAAACAGUACGUGAAAUUGCUGAAAGGGAAACGCUUGAAGUCAGUCGCGUUGUCUGGGAAUCAACCUUGCUUUUGCUGGGCGUACUUUCCAGAUAAUGGGUCAGCAUCAAUUUUGAUCGUUGGAUAAAGUCAGAAGGAAUGUGGCAUCUUCGGAUGUGUUAUAGCCUUUUGUCGUAUACAACGGUUGGGAUUGAGGAACUCAGCACGCCGCAAGGCCGGGUACUUGUACCACGUUCGUGCUUAGGAUGCUGGCAUAAUGGCUUUAAUCGACCCGUCUUGAAACACGGACCAAGGAGUCUAACAUGCCUGCGAGUAUUUGGGUGGAAAACCCGAGUGCGCAAUGAAAGUGAAAGUUGAGAUCCCUGUCAUGGGGAGCAUCGACGCCCGGACCAGACCUUUUGUGACGGAUCUGCGGUAGAGCAUGUAUGUUGGGACCCGAAAGAUGGUGAACUAUGCCUGAAUAGGGUGAAGCCAGAGGAAACUCUGGUGGAGGCUCGUAGCGAUUCUGACGUGCAAAUCGAUCGUCAAAUUUGGGUAUAGGGGCGAAAGACUAAUCGAACCAUCUAGUAGCUGGUUCCU
rnacentral:rRNA from 1 species